ensembl:snoRNA SNORA62 Small nucleolar RNA SNORA62/SNORA6 family
UGUGCACAUUGUUAGAGCUUGGAGUUGAGGCCACAAGCUGGCCAGUGAACUCACAAGUGUAGGUAGUGUGCGACAUGAGUGGCAAGUUUUCGCUAACGCUCCGCUCUAACCCGGUGAGUGGAGUUUGAUAGUAAACUGUGCUACAAGC